rnacentral:rRNA from 1 species
AUUGAACGCUAGCGGGAUGCCUUACACAUGCAAGUCGAACGGAGUGGCGAACGGGUGAGUAAUGACUCGGAAGGAGCCCAGUAGUGGGGGAUAACUAAGAGAAGGAGAAGCUAAUACCGCAUACUAUCGGUGGGGCCGAGAUCGGAUUAGCUAGUGGGUGGGGCAACGGCUCACCAAGGCGACGAUCCGUAGCUGGUUUGAGAGGACGACCGGCCACACUGGGACUGAGACACGGCCCAGACUCCUACGGGAGGCAGCAGUGGGGAAUAUUGGGCAAUGGGGGAAAGCCUGAUCCAGCCAUCCCGCGUGUGCGAUGAAGGCCUUCGGUUGGUAAAGCACUUUUGGCAGGGAAGCGGUACCUGCAGAAUAAGCACCGGCUAACUACGUGCCAGCAGCCGCGGUAAUUC